UACGGAGGGUGCUAGCGUUGUUCGGAAUCACUGGGCGUAAAGGGCGUGUAGGCGGCCUGUUAAGUCUGAUGUGAAAUCCCCUCGCUCAACGAGGGAACUGCGUCGGAUACUGGCAGACUCGAGUACCGGAGAGGAAGGUGGAAUUCCCGGUGUAGCGGUGAAAUGCGUAGAGUAUCGGGAGGAACACCGGUGGCGAAGGCGGCCUUCUGGACGGAUACUGACGCUGAGACGCGAAAGCGUGGGGAGCAAACAGG
rnacentral:rRNA from 1 species